rnacentral:lncRNA from 1 species
GAUAAUGUAAACUUCCCACAGGCAAGGAAGAUAAUUACACUUUUCUACAUCCCACAAAGACACUAGUGUAUCAUGCUCGCUACCUCUGAGUCCCUUUGGAAUAAUUAAGAGUAGAAAAUCUUGGUAAAGAAACGAUAUAAUAUGUCUCUAUCCUAGGAAUGUUUCUGUCCCUUGUUCUAGAGUCAGACUCUUUUUUAAAUUUUUGUACUUUAUUCCUAAGGUGAAAUGUUUCACAAGAAGAUACACUUAAAACAUCACUAAUUAUUGGAAAAAUGCAAAUCAAAACUACAGUGAAGUACCACUGUACCUCAGAAUGGACAUCAUCAGUAAGUCUACAAAUAACAAAUGCUGGUGAGGGUGUGGAGAAAAAGGAACCCUCCUUCACUGUUGGUGGGAAUGUAAAUUGGUACAGCCACUGUGGACAACAGUAUGGAGAUUCCUCAGAAAGCUAAAUAAAGAACUAACGUAUGAUCCAGCAAUGCCAUUCCUGGGCAUCUAUCUGGACAAAACUACAAUUCAAAAAAAUACAUGUACCCGUAUGUUUAUAGCAGCACUGUUCACAAUAGCCAAAACAUGGAAACAACCUACGUGUCCAUUGACAGAUGAAUGGAUUAAGAAUAUGUGGUCCAUAUAUACAAUGGAAUACUACUCAACCAUAAAAAGAUGAAAUAAUGCCAUUUGCAGCAACAUGGAUCAAUAGAGAGUCUCAUACUAAAUGAAGUAAGCUAGAAAGAGAAAGACAAAUACCAUAUGAUAUCACUUAAAUGUGAAAUCUAAAAUAUGCCACAGAUGAAGCUAUUGGAAGAAUAGAAACAGACUCACAAACCGACGUAGAGAACAGACUUGUGGUUGCCGAGGGGAAUGAGGGAAGAAUGGGAUGGACUGGGAAUUUGGGGUUAGUAGAUGCAAACUAUUACAUUUAGAAUAGAUAAGCAAUGAGGUCCUGCUGUGUCGCACAGGGAACUGUGUCUAGUCUCUUGGGAUAGAACGUGAUGGGGAUGAUAUUUAAAAAAAGAAUGUUAAGUAUGUGUAUGACUGGGUCACUUUGCUGUACGGCAGAAAUUGGCGCAACACUAAAUCAAUAUGCUGUAAUUUAAAAUAAUAAUGGUAAGGGAAGGAAAAAAAGAUGAUAUAUUUAAAAUUUAAAGAAAUGUGUCUAAAGGAAAAUGAAAGCUCUACAAUAGCAUGGUUGUGCAUAGCCCCUAUACAGCUUGCACUCUCAAACAUCCGGAUCCUUUAUUUUUCUAGUUCAGCAUUAAGAAGAUUUCCCAGUUCAUCCAUUAUGGGUCAGCUUCUGGAGAACAAAGUUAUAAUUUAUCGCAUCAGACUGUGAUUACAGAGCUUAUGUUCUUUGUUGGUAAUUAAUACAUGUUCUUUGCCCACUCUUGCUCACUAGAAAAACCAUUUGGGGUCUUAUUCACAAAAAAGAAUGAGUAGUUCCAGAGAUAAUAGGAUCAGAGGGAAACACUAUAUUCCAUUUUUAUACAUUACUAAGAAAUUGAAAGGGACAUUAAUUUCUUUAAAGGGCAUUCCUGCCUACGUAGUUGAAUAUUGCCUUCUAUAUACUUAAUUCCUCUUUUGACUGACUUCAUCCUGAGCUCAAUCUCACUGGAAAAUCUAUAAAAUGAUGUAUAAAACCUAUAAAAGUAAUGUCAGCAUGGAACCUAUUCACAUUCUGUGCUAGCCAGGACUAGGCUCAGCACUUCCAGACCAGAACCCCACUCACGUGACUGAGCCUGACGCCAGCCUUCCCUGAAGUUAGCAAGAAUCCAAAUGCCUUAAAAGGGAAAGGGAGGAUGAAAAUAAUUAAAUCCAAUUUUUUCCCCUAAAGAUUUUUUUGUACAUCUCUUUCUUUGUGUUCACCGUGUUGAAUUGGUUUCUUUGUCCUGUUUGUUUCAGUCAAAUAUUAAGCAGACUUAUUAUACCAACUUAACCAAGUGGUAUUUCUCUACACUUUGUUCUUUCAUUUGUUCCUGAAGGGGCCUCUCUUCCACAGGCCAGGUUUACUGAAAUUCAUGAUUGUUUAAUACAAAGGACCAGACUCAGAGCCUUAACUAAUUUUCUUCAAAUUAUUCAGGUCUGGACUCGUACAUGUUACAUAAGUUGAUUCUGUGAAAGUUGCUAUUAAGGAAGAGCUGAAAGGAGAAAAGUAAAGGACAACCUGGAAAAUGUAACAAAAACCCAGAAAGACUUUACAUAUGAUUAGGAAUUAAGGAUGUGGAAAGGAGGUAGUUAAAACAGGCAUCGAAUGCGAACUAAUAUGUUACUAAUAACAUCUUAAUUAAAGAAAUGCCAUCCACUAGAUGUUUAAAGUGUUUUAAAUCAAAAAUUGCAGACAUACUCAAAAGUAGGCAGAAUAACAUAAUCAACCCCCUGCGCUCACCACCUGCCUUUGGUAAUUAGCAGCACAUGGUCAACUUAUUUAUUUGCUGUACCAUCCUUUUCCCACAAACACUGGAUUAUUUUUAAACAAAUGCAAGAGCUCUACAUUUCCUAAUGACUUUAAGGGAGUUCCCUUUGUGGCUCAGUGGUUGAUGAACCCGACUAGGAUUCAUGAGGAUGCAGGUUCGAUCCCUAGCCAUGAUCAUUGGGUUGAGGAUCCAGCAUUGCCUUGAGCUGUGCUGUAGGUCACAGAUGUGUCUCAGAUCCUGUGUUGCUGUGGCUGUGGGGUAGGCCAGUGGCUACAGCUCCGACUGGACCCCCUAGCCUGGAAACUUCCAUAUGCCACAG